rnacentral:rRNA from 1 species
GACAGAGGUGCCAAGCGUUAGGCGGAAUCACUGGGCUUAAAGCGUGUGUAGGCGGGUGCCUAAGUACCUUGUGAAAUCCCCCGGCUCAACCGGGGAAGGGGCGCCGAUACGACCGGCCUGGAGGGACGUAGGGGGGGCUGGAACUUCCGGUGGAGCGGUGAAAUGCGUUGAGAUCGGAAGGAACGCCCGUGGCGAAAGCGAGCCCCUGGACGUCUACUGACGCUGAGACGCGAAAGCCAGGGGAGCGAACGGG